GAUAUAUAAAAUAGAGCAAGUUUGUGAGGCAAAAUACUCAAACAUGAAUCCCGCGGAAGCUGAAACUAUUGCCGAUCUGGUGCAGAACAUGAUUAAAUCUUUUUUUGGCGAACAAAAACCAGAAUUGACUAGAAGAUUCAUGCGUUUUUCCCUCGGGUUAUUAUCAUCUACAGGAACACUGAGAGAAGAUGAAAUGACUGUAGCAACAAACAUAAAGAGUAAAUUAUCACCACGUGAUGCAGUACAGUUUGAUAAACUACAUAAUGACUUAAAAGAUGGGCCAUUGAAGAAUCGUAUAAGUAUUCUAUUAUUUCUACUGAACAUGAGUCAAUCGGCUGAAGCAAUAAAGGAUAGAAUUUUUUCAUUUCCAGACAUGAAAUUGGGUUUAAGUCCAAUUGCAUCCACUAGUGGACAAUCCUCACAAACAUCAUGUUCUCAAGCACAACAAAUUGUAUCAUUGAAUACUACGGAAAGUUCAAGAGGAUUGCUAAUAAAUCCAAGUAAAAUAUUCAAUAAUGAAGAAUGUAUUUCAGAGGAUGUAUUGGUUCAGGACUUGAUAUAUUCUUUCCAAAGUGUUGAAGGAAAAAUCCUAAAGUUGGAUUCAAGCUAUGGCUUUCAGAUAGAUCCUGUAGCAAAGAUUAAUAGAUCGCAAAAGCAAGCUGUUUUAAGACUGAGUGAAUUAGGAUACUUACAUAAUGUAGUGCGAAAAGGAUUGGAAAGAAUGUCUGUAGCCGGCGCGGGUAGAGUUGCUGAUAGUUUUGUUGCGGCUCUGCAUAAGGAAUUGUCAGAAUAUUAUAGAUUUAUAGCUAUAAUGCAGGAAGAAGUGAAUAGGUCACAAAAUCAAAUGGUUAUGUAUGGAGUUACAUUAUCACAUUUACACCUUUGGACCUGUGAUCCUCUGGAAACUUUAAAGUGGCUAGCGAGUAUAGUAAGAGCUUGCCAAGGCCAAAAAGGUGGUGCAUUAGCAUCUACUGUUUACGAAUUCAGCUAUCAUGGAGAUGCUAUUGUAAAGAAUUUGGUCAAGAGGGUCUUAGAGAGUGUUUGCAAUCCUUUGUACAAUAUGUUAAUGAGAUGGAUUGCUGAUGGAGAAUUAGACGAUCCGUAUAAGGAGUUUUUCAUUCAAGCAUGUGCUGAUGUUAGUGGUGACAGAAUGUGGCAUGAGAAGUAUCAAGUGAGAAAUUCAAUGGUGCCAUCCUUUAUUAGUAAAGCUCAAGCAAAGAAAAUUCUUGGGACAGGAAAAAGCAUUAAUUUCUUACGUGAAGUUUGUAAAGAUUUCUCACCAUGGCAGGAUAGACAUGCAGAUAUGUUCAGAAAUUGCGAUGAAGAAUAUAAUGUCGAAGUUUUUUUUGAUAUGGAUCCAGAUGGUCGCUUACAAACUAUGAUGAAUGCUGCUUAUAAAGAAACAUCAACAAGAGUUGUCGAAAUAUUGACAAAACAGUAUCACCUCAUGGAUCACUUGCAGGGAAUCAAAGGAUAUCUUUUACUUGGCCAAGGCCACUUUAUUCAACAUCUCAUGCACUUGCUGGAACCUGAAUUAGCUAAACCAGCAAGUUCUUUAUAUCCCCAUAAUUUAUCAUCUAUUCUUGAAACUGCAAUAAGGGCAACUAGUGCAAAGUUAGAUGACUUAGAUGUGCAGAAACGUUUAGAUGUUAGAUUAUUAGCACCUUCAGAGAAUGAGACAGGCUGGGAUGUUUUUAUUCUAGACUAUAAUGUUGAUGGACCUAUAGGAACGAUUUUAGAGCCAUGCAGGCAAACAUAUCAAAUGGUAUUUUUUGCAUUAUGGAGAGCAAAAAGAAUGGAAACGAUCUUAUCUGCUAUUUGGAAGCAACAGAUAACAUCAGCCAAGAUGUUCAGAAAAAUGCCAGAAGUACUGCCAAUCCAAAAUCAUAUCCAUUUGAUUACAAGCAGCAUGGUUCAUUUAGUUCAUCAAAUGCAAUAUUAUUUUUUGUUUGAGGUAAUUGAAUGUUCUUGGGAUACAUUUGCGAAACAACUUCUUCAAGCAACAUCUCUUGAUGAUAUAAUUGUGGCUCACAAUCAUUUUGUAGAUUCUGUAAGACAUGGUACAUUAUUAGAUGAGAAAUCGCAGGAACUUAUGGAUCAUCUACGCUCAGUUUAUAGCCCAAUAUUAGAUCUUCAAAAUCUUGAAGAAACUUUUCUUGCACGUGCUACUCAGGAAUACGAGGCAAGAUUAAACACCGAUAAUUCCGUACAGAGAUCUGAGCAAACGAAAAAAUGGGGUCGUACAAACAAACAAGAUCAAGAGGUUGUAGAAAGAGAGGUUGCAUUUUCAAAAUAUCUAAACACACUUUCAAUACAUCUCAAACUACUUUCGAAAACAUAUCAGGAUCGUGUACAGAAAUUUUUACUAAUGUUAGCCUCUGCUGAAGAUGUGUCGCUACAGUUACUUAGUGUACGAUUAGAUUUUAAUGAAUAUUACAAGAGUAAAGAUAGUCGACUAGUUGCGCCGUUAACAUAUCAACAUCGCAGACAAAGCGAUCAGACUUUCUUUGGAUGCAAGUGACAAUCGGCAACGGAAAUUUUAUCAGAAAACCUCACUGAUUCAAGUAACAUUUCUAAUAAAUACUAUAUCCCAACUGAGCAGAAUUCAUCUAACUUUAAUAGGAAUGGAACCUUAUAGUGCGUCAUGCGAUGAUAAUACAAAUUCGAUGAGGCGGUGAAGCGC
rnacentral:misc_RNA from 1 species